ensembl:lncRNA
UCUCUCUCUCUCUCUCUCUCUCUCUCUCUCUCUCUCUCUCUCUCUCGAACACACACACACACACACACACACACACACACACACACACACACACACACACACACACACACACACACACACACACACACACACACACACACACACACACACACAGUGAUGAGGCACAGGUUUAUUUGGCAGUUGCGGGCUGUACCCAACAUCACAUUUGUCCAUGCGCUGCUGUGAGAAUGUUCUGUUCCUUCCCUGCGGGGGGGAUGACUGCCAAUCAAAAGGCCAGGGGUUCGCUGAUAGGUCACGGUGCAGUCUCUAUAUCGCCAUUCCAACAGAAGACAACAACCGGACUUGAACCCCGGUCUCCAGUGGGUUAGGCAGAGUGCAAUCCACUGCACCACUGAGGCGAUGACAAUAUACAAUAAUCAAUCAUCAAUAAAUAGGAUAUACAUGACAUUAAAAUGUAUGUGUGUAUUUCUAUUAUUUCCCUUAUGUUUUUUUUUUCAUGACGACCGAUAAAAAACGACAGUGUUACCCCCUAUAUUUUAUUUGAUAAAUAUCGACAGUGUUGCAGCUUAUGUUUUUUUUCAUGACGACCAAUAAAAAACAACAGUGUUACCCCUUAUGUUUUUAUUCAUGACGACCAAUAAAAAAACAACAGUGUUACCCCCCAUGUUUUAUUUGAUAAAUAUCAACAGUGUUACCCCUUAUGUUUUUAUUCACGACGACCAAUAAAAAAACAACAGUGUUUCCCCCCAUGUUUUAUUUUAUGACGACCAAUAAAAAACAACAGUGUUACCCCUUAUGUUUUUUUCAUGACGACCAAUAAAAAAAAAACAUGUUACCCCUUAUGUUUCUUUUCAUGACGACCAAUAAAAAACGACAGUGUGUUUUAUUAGAUAAAUAUCGACAUUCCAACAGAAGACAACAACCGGACUUGAACCCCAGUCUCCAGUGGGUUAGGCAGAGUGCACUCCACUGCACCACUGAGGCAAUGACAAAAUACAACAAUCAAUCAUCAAUAAAGAGGAUAUGCAUGACAUUAAAAUGUAUGUGUGUAUUUCUAUUAUUUCCCUGAUGUUUUUUUUCAUGACGACCAAUAAAAAACGACAGUGUUACCCCUUAUGUUUUAUUUGAUAAAUAUCGACACUGUUACCCCUUAUGUUUUUUUUCAUGACGACCAAUAAAAAACAACAGUGUUACCCCUUAUGUUUUUAUUCAUGACGACCAAUAAAAAAACAACAGUGUUACCCCCUAUGUUUUAUUUGAUAAAUAUCGACAGUGUUACCCCUUAUGUUUUUUUU